UUUCGGAAGCAAUCCCUGUUGGUCAAACCUUUAGAGGUUAGGUAUGGAGUAAGCACGCCAAUUUGAAACUCUCUCUUGCCUUCAUUCAUCUGAUAAUUGCAGCUCCCUGAGACACUGCAUCAUUAUCGUUUUUGCAGCUCAUGGUGUGGUGCAGAUGGUGACCCCAGAUCCCACCCUGGAGGGUGACCACGGCCAACCCACCAACCCAGGAGGUGAACCUUAGGACGGGAUGUGCAGGGAUGAACAGGGCAAGCCCUAUGUGCUCAGCAGUGUCUGUAAGUCGAUGUAUCAGAGCUCCAUGUUCCCGACACUUCCAGAGGGCGGGGGAGUCUGCUCUGGCCCGGCACAGCCCGGCUCGAGACAACCCCCUCAACUGGUGCAGAAGGAGCAGUGAAUCCCCCCUGUCAGGAAGUGAAGGUGGUGGGUGCGUGCACUAAAAAAACACUGCACAGCAAAGGAAUAUGUGGCUGCUCACCUAUGACACUUCCAAAACUAAACAUGGCUACAUCAUGUUUGAG